rnacentral:rRNA from 1 species
GAGAUAGCUGGUUCUCCCCGAAAUAGCUUUAGGGCUAGCCUCAAGUGGUGAUUACAGGCGGUAGAGCACUGAUCAGGAGCGGGACCUACCCGGUUACCAAACCCAGUCAAACUCCGAAUGGCUGUAAUCAAACUUGGGAGUCAGACUACGACUUAUAAGGGCCGUGGUCAAGAGGGAAACAGCCCAGAUCAUCAGCUAAGGUCCCAAAUGCCGUGCUAAGUGGCGAAGGAUGUGGCGUUUCAUAAACAACCAGGAUGUUGGCUUAGAAGCAGCCAUCAUUUAAAGAGUGCGUAAUAGCCCACUGGUCGAGAGACGCUGCGCCGAAGAUGUCCGGGGCUCAAGCACGGAACCGAAGCUAUGGCAGACGCAAGCCGUCUGGGUAGGGGAGCGUUCUUAUUGGGGAGAAGCGAUACCGGAAGGAGUCGUGGACUGAUAAGAAGUGAGAAUGCUGGUAUGAGUAUCGAAAAGAAAGGUGAGAAUCCUUUCCACCGAAAGCCCGAGGGUUCCUGAGCAACGAUCGUCGUCUCAGGGUAAGUCGGGACCUAAGCCGAGGCAAGAAGCAUAGGCGAUGGACAACAGGUUGAAAUUCCUGUACCGGAAGAGUCUGAUUGAGUGAAGGAGUGACGCAGAAGGGCACACAAGCAUGCGAGUGGAAGAGCAUGUCUAAGUGCGUAGCCUGUAUGAUAGGAAAAACCGUCAUACGAGAAGGGUGAGACAUGAAGGGGAGUUAAAGGAGACUUUAAUGAACUUGUGAAUCCCAUGCUGCCAAGAAAAGCUUCUAGCGAGGACUCGUCCGCCCGUACCGUAAACCGACACAGGUAGGCGGGGAGAGAAUCCUAAGGUGCGCGGGAAAACCCUCGUUAAGGAACUCGGCAAAUUGCAUCCGUAACUUCGGAAGAAGGAUGGCCCUUGGUAGGCGAAGAGUCAAGCACUUGGAACCGAGAAGGGUGGCAGAAAAGAGGCCCAAGCAACUGUUUACCAAAAACACAGGUGCCUGCGAAAGCGAAAGCUGAAGUAUAGGUGCUGACGCCUGCCCGGUGCUGGAAGGUUAAGGAGAGAGGUCAGCUAAGGCGAAGCUUUGAACUGAAGCCCCAGUGAACGGCGGCCGUAACUAUAACGGUCCUAAGGUAGCGAAAUUCCUUGUCGGGUAAGUUCCGACCCGCAUGAAAGGCGUAAUGAUUUGGGCACUGUCUCAACGAGGGGCCCGGUGAAAUUGAAAUACCUGUGAAGAUGCAGGUUACCCGCGACUGGACAGAAAGACCCCAUGGAGCUUUACUGCAGCUUGAGAUGGAAUCUCGGAAGUAGAUGCACAGGAUAGGUGGGAGACAAAGAAGUAUGUACUUAGGUAUGUAUGGAGUCGAUGUUGGGAUACCACCCUUCUAGUUCUGGGAUUCUAACGCCAGGAGUAACGACCCUGCGGACAAUCUCAGGUAGGCAGUUUGACUGGGGCGGUCGCCUCCGAAAGAGUAACGGAGGCGCCCAAAGGUUCCCUCAGGUCGGACAGAAACCGACCGACGAGUGCAAAGGCAGAAGGGAGCUUGACUGCGAGACCAACAAGUCGAGCAGAGACGAAAGUCGGGCUUAGUGAUCCGGUGGUACUGUGUGGAAAGGCCAUCGCUCAACGGAUAAAAGCUACCCUGGGGAUAACAGGCU